rnacentral:misc_RNA from 1 species
AAGAGACUGUUGCCCUUCGGGGUAUACCUCCCACCCUUUGUUUAUUAUACCUUUGUUGCUUUGGCGGGCCCGUCCUCGGACCACCGGCUUCUGCUGGUCAGUGCCCGCCAGAGGACCUAAAACUCUGUUUGUUAAUAUUGUCUGAGUACUAUAUAAUAGUUA